rnacentral:rRNA from 1 species
ACGACGCUGGCGGCACGCUUAACACAUGCAAGUCGAACGGAGUUACGGAGCUUGCUUGUAAACUUAGUGGCGGACGGGUGAGUAACACGUGAGCAACCUGCCUUCAAGAGCGGAAUAGCUUCUGGAAACGGAUGGUAAUACCGCAUAACAUUACCGGACCGCAUGAUCUGGUAAUCAAAGAUUUUAUCGCUUGAAGAUGGGCUCGCGUCUGAUUAGAUAGUUGGUGGGGUAACGGCCUACCAAGUCGACGAUCAGUAGCCGGACUGAGAGGUUGAACGGCCACAUUGGGACUGAGACACGGCCCAGACUCCUACGGGAGGCAGCAGUGGGGAAUAUUGCACAAUGGGCGCAAGCCUGAUGCAGCGAUGCCGCGUGGAGGAAGAAGGUUUUCGGAUUGUAAACUCCUUAUCUGAGGGACGAUAAUGACGGUACCUCAGGAGAAAGCUCCGGCUAACUACGUGCCAGCCGCAGC